rnacentral:rRNA from 1 species
AUUGAACGCUGGCGGCAUGCCUUACACAUGCAAGUCGAACGGUAACGCGGGGCAACCUGGCGACGAGUGGCGAACGGGUGAGUAAAGCAUCGGAACGUGCCCAGUAGUGGGGGAUAGCCCGGCGAAAGCCGGAUUAAUACCGCAUACGACCUAUGGGUGAAAGGGGGGGAUCGCAAGACCUCUCGCUAUUGGAGCGGCCGAUGUCAGAUUAGGUAGUUGGUGGGGUAAAGGCCUACCAAGCCGACGAUCUGUAGCUGGUCUGAGAGGACGACCAGCCACACUGGGACUGAGACACGGCCCAGACUCCUACGGGAGGCAGCAGUGGGGAAUUUUGGACAAUGGGCGCAAGCCUGACCCAGCCAUGCCGCGUGCGGGAAGAAGGCCUUCGGGUUGUAAACCGCUUUUGUCAGGGAAGAAAUCCUUUGGGUUAAUACCUCGGGGGGAUGACGGUACCUGAAGAAUAAGCACCGGCUAACUACGUGCCAGCCGCCGCAGUAC